GGCUGGGGGUGCCGCAAGCCCUUGGCCUUUUGCGGGGAGGCCCAGGACACGGACGACGCCCCCGUCGUGUUUGAGCCCGCCGCCACAGUCGCCCCCACCGAGGGUGUCAAGGACAACGAUGGGACCUGAUCGCCGACGCGAGCGGCUGCAACGGUGCAGCAGGUGCCCGCGGCGGGGGAGGUGGCGCAGGAAGCUCCCUAGAAACAGUGGAACCUGCGGGAGCGGACGUCGUGGAGGGAUUAUAGUAACAGAGCGGACGACUUGCGUGCACGGCAGGCCAGAGAGCGCGGAUGCCGGCGGCAGCCACCUGUUGUCGCUGUCGGUGAAGCUGACUCGGUAGGAGAUCGACGCCGACUUCGCCAAGAUCACCGGCAGCAAGGCGCCGCGCCGGCCCAUGAAGUGGAGCAAGACCGUCCAGCGCAAAAUCAAGACGCUUUGCCUAGGGAGUUUGCUGGUGCAGGUGACCCUCGACCGGUACAAGGUGAACGAGAAAGGAAGAUUUUGAUUUCUUCAGUCGCGCGAACAAGAAAGGGGGGAGAGGAAGAGGAGGAGAUGGAUUUCACAACGGAGGAGAUUGAUCGAGCAAUGUCUGCCUCCUCAUCUCGUGAUGCAUCAAUGCUUACCACAAGGAUGGCUGGCGAUUCUUCUGACGGGGCCAACAUUAUUUCUUUAAGAGAAAAUAUAAAUAGAGAACAACAGAUGAACAUGGGAAACCAGUGAGUGGAAGCUAUGUUUUCCUGUGUAAUACCUUCCACAACGACUCUCUAUUCACCAACCUGGGGAGGGGCGAGGGAGUGCACUUGCUCUCCAUUGAGAUUAGGGGGUUAGGGUUCAUAGAUAAAUAUUUUGCCUGAUAUAUUCUAUUCACAUCAAGAGUUCGAGUCAUAGUAUAAUUCACCCACACUUUUCUAUUUACCCCUUCCAAUGUUUUAUUUAUGUUAUUCAAUUAGUACUUGCAUGUCGUCACUGAAGUGCAAUACAAUAUAUAUACUAGAAGCACAUGUUCUGUAGUUAUGUGAAACUAUAUUAUCAUACAUUAAUUAUUUUACAUGAUUAUAUUUUAAUUUCUCGUGCUAAAAAAUGGGUAAUAAAUACCUGUAGUUAUGUGUUCUCUUCAUGGUUUGUGAAGCUCACUUAGUAUUUUUUCCAAAAAAGAAAUAUCAAGAGAUGUCAGUAUUGCUCUUGAUUAAUAAAUAUUGCUCAUGUAGUUUGUUUUUUUAGAAUUUGAUAGUAAUAGUCUAAAUAACAUAUGUACAACUAUAGCAUUGAGAAGUAUCUAUAUCAUCCUAUUUUAGACAACAUGACCAGGUGUGUGAAACAAAUUAAAUGUUUCUUCCAUUUCUACCUUCAUGAUUCAGUAUUGUGCAUAUUGUCCUCCAUAUGUUCCAAAUUACAUGCUGUUUUAGCUUUUCUAGAUACAUAGUUUUCUUAUACACCUAGCUACAUACAUAGCAAAAGCUAAAACGGUUUGUAGGCACCAUGUAGUCCUUUCAUUUGGUCGGUUUGUAGGCGUCUUCCAAAAGUACUGUCACAUCUACCACUAGAAUCGGCUUCUCACUAGCUUCUCACCAGGGGUUUGACUUUGUAACACAGGAGAUAUAGUGUGCUCUUCUGGAACUUCAUCCCCAACAUCAUCCUCACUAUGAUCUUGUGCAGUACUUGGCACUUCAGUGACGGCUUCAAAUACAGCAUUAUCUCCUAGAUUGUGACUCUGUUUUGGGGUCGUGGGUAUAUCAGUUUGCAUAUUAUCUGGAGCCUUCCGAGGCAACUCUUUUAUUAUAGCAUCAGAAUGUAAGGUUUCUAUCUCUGUGGGUAGAUUAUUGACUGACGCUUCCUUUUGAGUGUAGGCUUGCUCAAUGUCGCCCACUUGCUGAGAUGACUCUUCAGAUACAGAUGCAGCUUCUGCACCUUCCCCAAUUUGAUUCACAUGGACAAUUAGCUCAGCAUCAAUAUUUCCUGCUUUCUCAAGCCUGUCAACUUCACUGAUAAAUGUCAACUUCCAUGGAAUCCUUAGGAGCUUCGGACAUAUUCAAACCUAGAGGAAAGACAUGAUCACAUGGCAGCAACAAUCAUUUACUUUUGUGGAAGUUGUAGAGUAGCUUUAUUAAAUACUCCGUCCAUUUAUUUUUCUAAAGUGUAUUUGGAUUCAAAAAAAAGAAUGUAGAGUAUACUUUGACUAUCAGUUACUCUCAUGUAAUAUGCCAUAUAUUGUAGUAAAACCAACUUGUGUUGAACUAUAUGGUGAAUGUGAAUUCGUUGAUACUAUGUCCUAAUCAUGAAUAUAACUAGAGUUGAUUUACAAUGGGGUACUACAUGUUACCUUCUCUGUGGUACGGGAGUAAUAUAUAGUGACGCUAAAGUAUGAGAGUUUCGAGUUUUUUUAUUAAUGUAGCACCCCAUUUUUGUUGG